GACGAACGCUGGCGGCGUGCCUAAUACAUGCAAGUAGGACGCAGUUGCGAACGGGUGAGUAACGCGUAGGUAUCUACCUAUUAGAGGGGGAUAAAAAUUGGAAACGAUAGCUAAUACCGCAUACUAGUAGAUGGACGUGCGUUGUAUUAGCUAGUAGGUAGGGUAAUGGCCUACCUAGGCAACGAUACAUAGCCGACCUGGGAGUGUGAUAGGCUAAACUGGGACUGAGAGACGGCCCAGACGCCUACGGGAGGACGCAGGAGGGAAUCGUCGGAAAUUGGGGGAACCCUGACCGAGCAACGCCGCGUGAGUGAAGAAGGUUUUCGGAUCGUAAAGCUCUGUUGUUAAGGAAGGGGUACUUAAAGAGAAAGGGACGGCUAACUACGUGCCAGCAGCCGCGGUAAUAC
rnacentral:rRNA from 1 species